GACGACGCUGGCGGCGUGGAUUAGGCAUGCAAGUCGAACGGUAUCAUCCUUCGGGGGUGAGAGAGUGGCGAACUGGUGAGUAACACGUAGGUUAUCUACCCUCAAGACGGGGACAACCCAGGGAAACUUGGGCUAAUACCGGAUGUGAGCAACCUUUAGUUGUUUGAAAGGUGGCGUAAGCUGUCGCUUGGGGAUGAGCCUGCGUCCUAUUAGUUAGUUGGUGAGGUAACGGCUCACCUAGGCAAUGAUAGGUAGGCGGCCUUAACGGGUGGUCGCCCACACUGGGAUUGAGAUACGGCCCAGACUCCUACGGGAGGCAGCAGUCGAGAAUAGUCUACAAUGGUCGGAAGACUGAUAGUGCGACGCCGCGUGAACGAUGAAUCCCUUCGGGGUGUAAAGUUCUUUUAUAUGUGAGCAGUGCUUCUUAUAUUAACAGUAUGGGGAGAGAGAUAUUAGCAUAUGAAUAAGCAACGGCUAACUCCGUG
rnacentral:rRNA from 1 species